GUGACAUGUCGCUGGACCCAACACCUACAGGAUUGGAUCAGAGGCUACUGAAUAAGCCCUGCCCAUAGGCGGCCUUGUGACAUAUGUCUGCAUCUAUCGCCUAAGUGAUGUGACUCUUUUUCUGCCUGCAGCCUGCACAUAGAGAAGAUUGUGACAUAUAGCUCUGCCCAGUAACCAGGUGAUGUGUCUUUUCUGGCAGGUCUUUUCCCACAGGGAGCAUUGUGAAACAUCACUGGGCUCAGCCACCAGGUUAUGUGACUCUUCUGCCUGUGCCCUGCUUCCAGAAAAUAUUGUGACAUUCCUCAUACAGCAUCCAGGUGAUGUGACUCUUCUGCUCAUUUUCUACUUACAGGAGACAUGCCCAAAAAAGGGAUUGUGGCAUAUCUCUGAGCCCAGCACCCAAAUGUUGUGACUCUCCUGCCUGAGCUGUGCCUAGAGAAAAUAUUAUAAUAUGUCACCGGACCCUGCAUGCAAGUGAUCCAAUUCUCCAGUCUGGGCCUUGCCCAUAGAGGAGAUUGAGACAUAUUCCAGGUGAAGAAUUCAGGUCAUGCAAAUGGAGGCGGAUUUUGACAUAUCAUAAAGCCAACAUAAUACACAGUCUGCAGGUGGAAUUGGGACUCUCAUGCAUGGAUCCAGUUCAUCAUUGAUACUGUGACUCAUGUACUUGGAUGCAACUCACAGGAGGUGUUGACGCUUUUUACCUGAAGCUGGGACAUGUGUGGAAUUGUGAAUCCUAGCCCUAGAUCUUCCCACAGGUGGGAUUUUGACAUAUAACUGCACCCAGCACACAGGUGAAGUAUCUCGUAUGCUCAUCCUGCCAAAAGUUAUGAGUGUCACCCUCACACAUGGACAGAGACCUCUGGUUAGGUCUUGAAUCUUGUACAUGGACACAGUCCGCAGUUGGAAUGUCAUAUGUAGAUCCAGCCACAGGUGUGAUGUUGACCUAUUUAUAAAGUUAGCUCACAGGCACAUUGAUAACUCUCAUACCUGGAUCCAGCCAAUAAAAGAUAUGUUGACUAUUAUAAAAAAAAAAAAAAAAAAAAAAAAAAA
rnacentral:lncRNA from 1 species